CUCGCUGGCCUACUGUCUCCGCCCCCACGGCGCCGGAAUCCCAGCUCCACUUACCAGGCCGCGGCUACCCCGUCGCCCCCGCCACUCCCGCCACCCCGCUCUCCCAGGCUCUUCAGGAUCCAAGUUUGUAGGCCCUUUAAGGGGUCUAGUUGCCCUUUGCGGGGCCCUGGGACUUUGGUCCCAGACAGGGGGGAUCCGGAUGGCUUCCGUGCGGAUCCGAGAGGCCAAGGAGGGAGACUGUGGGGAUAUCCUGAGGUUGAUUCGGGUGAAGACUGUGGGCCGGAACUAGCCGAGUUCGAAAAACUCUCGGAUCAGGUGAAGAUCAGUGAGGAAGGUGGGGGCUCAGCGCCCAGGUUCUGGCGGAGGCUGGGGAGGAAAUAAGGGAUGGGUUCCCCAGGCGACAGCUCCAGGCUGGGCAUACACCCAGGUCCUCUUUCUCUAUCUCUUUGUUACAACUCCAAUCUCGGCAGCCCUGAGAGCAGAUGGCUUUGGAGAGAAUCCUUUCUAUCACUGUUUGGUAGCAGAGAUUCUUCCAGCGCCCGGGGAGCUACUGGGGCCCUGCGUGGUGGGCUAUGGGAUAUACUAUUUCAUCUACAGUACAUGGAAGGGACGCACCAUUUAUCUGGAGGAUAUCUAUGUGAUGCCGGAAUAUCGGGGUCAAGGGAUUG
rnacentral:sRNA from 1 species